rnacentral:rRNA from 1 species
UACGGGGGGGGGCAAGCGUUGUUCGGAAUUACUGGGCGUAAAGGGCUCGUAGGCGGCCAACUAAGUCGGAUGUGAAAUCCCCCAGGCUUAACCUGGGAACUGCAUCCGAUACUGGAUGGCUUGAAUUCGGGAGAGGGAUGCAGAAUUCCAGGUGUAGCGGUGAAAUGCGUAGAUAUAGGGGAGAACACUCGUGGCGAAGGCGGCCAGCUAGACCAGUCCUGACGCUGAGGCGCGACAGCGUGGGGAGCAAACAGG